UUUCGCACUUUUAUAUUACUCAUGCGCCCCUGGAGGUGGGUGAUGAAACCACAACUUUUAAACCCUUUCGGGUAACUUUGUUUUGAUCUGCUCAUCACUUUGAACCAUGACUAGAAGCUUCAUCAGUUCUUAUACAAACUGAUGAGCUAAUGAGUUAAAACAAAAGAAAUAAUAGGGGCGUCGCGUCGUAUAGAUUACAUGACAAGCAGCGUUAACCGAUCCAAACUUCCUCAUUCAAUCGGUAUCCAAGCUACAGAUAGCUACAGCUUAGUGGAUCGUAGUCCAAUUUCAGUUAUACUCUAAACCACCAGUUAAACACCAAGUUUUUGAUAAAAGGCCCUAGUGCGAGUUUUAAAUCAAAAUUUUGCGAAAACUCAAAUUCCGUGCCGUACCAGAGUACCGCACGAGCAGCGUACCCUCGAGGCGAAGGACGCAAUCAUCCUUCAAGCGAAGGUGCUACGUCGGGGUGUAGGGGAUAGUACCACGCUGGGCUAUCUCUAGGGACGAACCUGAAGCCCGGCGGCUUGUAGGCCUGCCCUCGUCGUCGAGCCCGUGUUCAGCCCUCUGCGCACCCAGGGCCAACCGAAGGUUUCAGACCUUCUAAGGGACAUUCGGUAGUCUAUUUCCGAAUCGAUCCCGUGCCGCCUCGAAGGGUAUUACGGGGCGAGAAGACCGCGUACGUCGACAGCUAAUCCCAGACAUCCGACACAGUGGGAUCCGAUCAAGCGAAAUUACGCCCACCGCCCAUACUCGUGUACGCCACCACCGGCUCAGGGAGGAAACCGGUGCUGAGACGGUAAACUGCCAGCCAGUGCGUGCACCCUCCGGCGACUGUGAGCCGCGUGGUAUCCCGCCGCCCAGAGAGACGAUCGACUGUGAGAGCAUCGGUCGGUUCAGCCUACCGUAGGGUACCGUUGUCCGGUGUGACCCCCUCUUCGUCCACCAACCUCCAUCGCCCAGCGAGAUACAGGUCAGAUCAAUCUAGUUUUUUUUUAAUACAUACACGUUCGCAAUUAGGAUUAAAUAACACUGCGCGCAGUCUAGACAAGCAACUAAGUUUUAAGUUAGGACUUGAUAAGUUUAAACGCCUGAAUAUAACCAAAUGUACUUAGAGAACUCAGGGUUUUAGUUAAUAUUGAAGCACAUAACCCGAGAGAAAAGGAAGAGUUUGAUCGGUUCGGGUUUCGUUAGUUGGUUUUCUUUAUCGCCCCCUAGUCUACGUUCUUGGUUGUGGCCUAGGUUAACGUGAAGUUGCAUCGCGAUUGGUUCGGAAUUGAUUUACAUAAAGGACUCGCCUUGAGGAGUCCAGCCGGGAAAACUUGCUGAUC